GACGAACGCUGGCGGCGUGCUUAACACAUGCAAGUCGAACGGAAAGGCCUCUUUCGGGGGGUACUCGAGUGGCGAACGGGUGAGUAACACGUGAGUAACCUGCCCUUGACUUUGGGAUAACUUCAGGAAACUGGGGCUAAUACCGGAUAGGAGCUCCUGCUGCAUGGUGGGGGUUGGAAAGUUUCGGCGGUUGGGGAUGGACUCGCGGCUUAUCCGCUUGUUGGUGGGGUAGUGGCUUACCAAGGCUUUGACGGGUAGCCGGCCUGAGAGGGUGACCGGCCAAAUUGGGACUGAGAUACGGCCCAGACUCCUACGGGAGGCGGCAGUGGGGAAUAUUGCACAAUGGGUGGAAGCCUGAUGCAGCAACGCCGUGUGCGGGAUGACGGCCUUCGGGUUGUAAACCGCUUUCGCUCAUGACGAAGCUUUGUGUGACGGUAGUGGGUAAAGAAGCACCGGCUAACUACGUG
rnacentral:rRNA from 1 species